rfam:Picea glauca, whole genome shotgun sequence.
AUGUACAUUCCUACAACAUAGCCUUAAUGCAUCGGAUCUCAUUAUAAAUCUGUAUUUAAGCACGCUCAGGAUAGAGUAGUACUAGGAUGGGUUACCACUUGUGAAUUCCUAGUGUUUUACAUG